ACCCCCGGCCCUAAUCCCCAUUCUCCUCCCAGCCACCGACCGAAACUCCGAACGCCGUCGGCCCCUCUUCCCUCCCCUAUCGCAUCAGAUCGACCGCCGGCGCCUCACAGAUCAUGGCGGCGCGGCCGGCUUGCUCGCCAUGCGCGGUUCGCGCAGCUUGGCCGAGGGAGGUACGGUGCGGUGCCGCACUCCGACGAUGGCGCGCAGGCCCGCCGAUUCCGGCAGCCGUCGCUCACCGGCCUCCUCUGCCGCGCGCUGAUGUCCCCGAAGGCGGCAAUCUUGGCAGGAGCCAGUUGUGGCUCCGCAUCCGAAGCCCCCCCAAAGGAUAUUUUUCCUAGCAAAGACUGUGAUCUAAUUUGACACGAAGGUGUCAAGCUGGGUCGACGUUAGAUGGAUUCAAGGCUGCUCGGCAGCCUGCGCAGCCACCACAACUUGCUGGUGAUGGUCAAUCGCUACACCCUCCAGCUGUUCUGGAUUGACAGCUUUGUGUAGGUUUGCUCUGGCCUCUUCUUCAUGCUCUGCUGUUUUAUUGCAACCGUGGUAUUCAGUUCUAGCAAUGAUACAAACAUGAAGAUGGUCAGGUCUUGUUCUGUUCUGGGAAUUAGUUUGCUGGUUACGAAAGGAAUGGUCCAGUUCAGUUGGACACUAAUUGCACUGGCCUUUUUCGCAAGCGAUUCCCACCUGCGUGUAUUCAUCUGGAAAUAAUUUGAGUAAUGUGGACAUGAUUGUAUUUGAAAUAACCCUUUAUACCCCUUUCUCGUACUAGUUGAGAUGUAAAGAUGUACUAAUCUAUAUGUUUGAGGAAAAUACUAGCUUGCUGUUGUUAUGCAAGGAAUGUUGUGUAUAUAUGCUGAAUUCCAAGAAGCGUGACAGGUUGUAUUUGUUGAGUGUCUAGGCAAGUGAAAACUCGGCUGCUGCUGCUGUUCUUGUUUGUGACAGGUGCUGGUGCAGCAGCCAUACCAAGGACGACGACGACGACGACGCAUACGGCAUCUGUGGGAGACAGGCUGAUCACCAUCAGCAAGUAACGUGAGAUGCAAGAACAUGAGUGAGUAGCCAGCUUGCAGGGUGCAGUACCGAUUCAGCUGCAAUCUUUUAGUUUGCAUGCUGCGCCUUGGUCUGGUACUAGGGUGUCGAUAUCUGGAUCCCGGGCUGUAGCUGCGAAGAAGUAUAUGUAAUACGGGCAUGAAUUGUUUUGUUGUAUACGCAUAUCAUGAAGGAAUGGAUUGCCGAGGUUUUGUUGUU